GAACUUAGCAGAGAUGCUUUGGUGCCUUCGGGAACUCUGAGACAGGUGCUGCAUGGCUGUCGUCAGCUCGUGUUGUGAAAUGUUGGGUUAAGUCCCGNAACGAGCGCAACCCCUAUCCUUUGUUGCCAGCGAUUCGGUCGGGAACUCAAAGGAGACUGCCGGUGAUAAACCGGAGGAAGGUGGGGAUGACGUCAAGUCAUCAUGGCCCUUACGAGUAGGGCUACACACGUGCUACAAUGGCGCAUACAAAGAGAAGCGACCUCGCGAGAGCAAGCGGACCUCAUAAAGUGCGUCGUAGUCCGGAUUGGAGUCUGCAACUCGACUCCAUGAAGUCGGAAUCGCUAGUAAUCGUAGAUCAGAAUGCUACGGUGAAUACGUUCCCGGGCCUUGUACACACCGCCCGUCACACCAUGGGAGUGGGUUGCAAAAGAAGUAGAUAGCUUAACCUUCGGGAGGGCGUUUACCACUUUGUGAUUCAUGACUGGGGUGAAGUCGUAACAAGGUAAGCGUACGUGU
rnacentral:rRNA from 1 species